UUCAUACACAGUGUUUCAGCCUCAGAGAAAAGAAAGUCUUUCACAGCACAACACACACAUUCCAAAUCCAGCCCAACAAAUGCAGAUAUAUUGAAGUGCAGAGCAACACAGUUAAUUGGCACUGCGAGAAGGAUUAGGGUUGUAUUUUGUACCAGCACCUCCUUCAAGAAAAAUGAAGCAAGCUAUAUUAUGGAGAGGAACGUCAUCCUUUCAACAAUUAUUGAAGCUAGCUUCUCAUGACAAGCGCAAAUCUGACAUCCCACCAGAUGCCAAUUUAUACAAAAUCAAACCAACCCACCUGAAAUUUCACAUCCUAGUUCAGGUGUCCUUCUCUACAACAACCCACUAAGACCUCCUCAAACUUUUGCCUUCUCCUACACCACAAUCUCAGUUUGGAUCAAAGCCUUGUAGAACUGAGAAAUCAGUCCCCCUGCUGGAGCCAGCCAGAUCAGAAUAUUUUCUCUAGAGGGGACAGUGUUAAAUUUGGUGCUAGUGUUGCAGAUUUGGGUGCUUAGAAAGAUGGAGAUCAGCACACAAACACACACACACAAAGUUGGAUCUCAGGAGACGUUGAGGGGACUAAAGCUCUUCAAAAUGAGCGAAGUCACCAAGCACUAAAAACAGCUACUGAGCACCUAAUCGCCUUACAAAAUUGGAUCCGCUGAAUUGGGUUAUUAUUGAUGGGACAGGUAUUCACUUAUCAGCCUACACAGGACUUUCUUUCUCCACUACUGGACUAGCUAGAGUAAAAGUUUCAAGAGUGCCUAAGUGGCUUUGGUGCUUUUGAAAAAAGAGAGACUUAAGCUGAUUUCAUUUACAUGGUACUGAAAAUUUUAUCCCACAUGUCUAAGAGUGUGUUGGGAGUCACUCAGAAACACAAGUUUCAAAGAGAUUCUGAGAGGUAAACUUCCCACUCCAGCAGGUGGGAAACGGCUUGAGUUCUCCCAGCCAAACCCUCACAAAGCCAAGCCUGCAGGGUAUAUCAUGCUCUUAUUCAGGGGAAAGCCAAUCCUACUCCUGAUUUAUAAAAGAUCACUCACUUGCAAACAUGGCUUUCCUCCUGAGAAGGCAACCUUUCUGCAUCUCUUUCCUCGCUAUUUAAAUAUAAACAUUAUAAAGCACAAGCAAUUUCUCUCUCUUUCUUCUCUCACUCCCCACCUAAUCUCUUUUGAAACGGACAUUUUUUGAGAGCAAUGGCUAAAGAGAGAUGCUUAAAAUAGAUCACAGAAUAUCAGGGUGGGGAGAGACCUCAGGAGAUCAUCUAGUCCAACCCCCUGCUCAAAGCAGGAUCAAUCCCCAGACAGAUU